rnacentral:lncRNA from 1 species
UCUCCUGCUUGUGGAAAAAUUCCCGAUUUUUUAUUAGAAUUAUUUAUUGUAUCAGGUUCUUUCGUAGGACUCAUACACCUUCAGUUAGUAGACUGCUAUGAUUUAACAGCAACUCGUCGUCAUUUAUUUAUUCGUUCGUUCUUCUUCUUCUUCUACAAUAUAAAGUGUUUGACGUUUUUUUCAAAAGAAUUAAGUAUUGUAAUAAACAUUUUGAGUGUUUGAAGUUAUUCUCAGUCAAGAUUUUGUUUAGAAUGGAUGAUUAUUUUAUUAAUCAUUUGGAGAGAAUGAAAGAGGUGGAAACAUCAUCAGAGGAGGAGAUUUGAAAGGUAUGUCCUAACCUAAAGGUCAGCAGCCAUUUGUGUAAAGAACUGACCCCUCAUCUCGCUCUCUCUCUCACAGCCCCAACACUACGCACAUAGGUCAACUUGAAGAAGGCCCAAAGUUGUUGUUGUUGUCUAUAAGCUAUCUCGAUUCUUCUUUGUGGAUUGAUAUAGAAUAAUGAUAACAUUUUGAAGCAUAAAAAUAAGAAAACGA